rnacentral:rRNA from 1 species
UACGGGAGGCAGCAGUGGGGAAUAUUGCACAAUGGGCGCAAGCCUGAUGCAGCCAUGCCGCGUGUAUGAAAAAGGCCUUCGGGUUGUAAAGUACUUUCAGUCGUGAGGAAGGUGUUAAGGUUAAUAACCUUAGCAAUUGACGUUAGCGACAGAAGAAGCACCGGCUAACUCCGUGCCAGCAGCCGCGGUAAUACGGAGGGUGCGAGCGUUAAUCGGAAUUACUGGGCGUAAAGGGCACGCAGGCGGUUAAUUAAGUUGGAUGUGAAAUCCCCGGGCUUAACCUGGGAAUGGCAUUCAAGCUGGUUAGCUAGAGUCUUGUAGAGGGGGUAGAAUUCCAUGUGUAGCGGUGAAAUGCGUAGAGAUGUGGAGGAAUACCGGUGGCGAAGGCGGCCCCUGGCAAAGGACUGACGCUCAUGUGCGAAGCGUGGGGAGCAAACG